rnacentral:misc_RNA from 1 species
GGAAAGCCUGGCUGAUGUUUUGACGUGCCGAAAUUUACCAUGGCAAUGCCCACGUUAUGAUCCACCAAGAAAACCCGAAAAUCCUCAGAAGAAACCGACGGCCCACUAUCACCAAAAUGCCAUUCAUGCUCUGUCAUAAUUACAACAUCACCCUUUCGUGCACAGCGGCAGAAUCUACUAGGAGGACAUUUCCGGAAAUUAGUCCAAGAAAUUCGAUGGUUUCGAGAGCCAAGCUUCCUUAGCCCACCAACAGCCAAAACAAUGGAAACCCUAGGCGAUAUAGAGCACAAAAUUGAGAGAGAGAUGGAAGAGACGCAACUUCUCUUAAUUAUUCAUUGCAUUUUCACGUGAUUGCGUCCUUUAAUUUCUCUCUGUCUCUCUUCUCUUAUUCUCUAGUGAUCGAAUUUCAAAUACGAUCCUUUUCAGCUUCAAAUCAAUUCUCUCACAUCAAAAAAGCGAUAGAUAGGGGAAAAUUCGCUAUUUUUUCACCCUCAAGCUUCAGUCUCAAUGUCUAGGAGGGUGCUUUGUAAGUUCUUUGCACAUGGAGCAUGUUUAAAAGGGGAGCAUUGUGAGUUUUCACAUGACUGGAAAGAUCCACCAAAUAAUAUUUGCACCUAUUAUCAAAGAGGAAUCUGCUCUUAUGGCAGCCAAUGCAGAUAUGAACAUGUUAAACCAUCUAGGUCAGAUCUUGCUUCUUCUUCAACAACAACUCCUCAGCAAUCUAUGGUAUCAACUUCUGUUCCUGUGGUCCAUCCUGUGAGAACUGGAUUUAGCAGGGGAACAUCAGUCCCAGGUGCUUCUGGAGAGCUUUCUGCUUCAAGUAGACCUUACUUUCCUCCCACCAAGCCAGCAUGGAAUUUGGUGUUUGCGCCUAACAACAUUUUAGAAAAUGGUGGCAUUAUAGAACCUAGGAAUGUUAAACCAGAAGGCCAUUCUCUCUGUUCAUUUGCUGCUGCUGGUAAUUGCCCCCGUGGAGUUAAAUGUCCUCAUAUUCAUGGUGACAUUUGCCCCACUUGUGGGAAACAUUGCUUGCAUCCUUUCAGACCAGAAGAAAGAGAGGAACAUUUGAAAACAUGUGAGAAGAAGCAAAAGCACCUUGAGGCAUUAAAACGUAGUCAAGAGAUUGAGUGCUGUGUAUGCCUAGAUCGUGUUCUUUCAAAGCCUACGGCAGCUGAACGAAAAUUUGGGCUGUUAUCAGAAUGUGAUCAUCCCUUCUGUAUAUCCUGUAUUAGGAACUGGCGUAGCAGCGCCCCUACUUCUGGAAUGGAUGUCAAUACUGCAUUGAGGGCUUGCCCUAUAUGCCGCAAGCUGUCAUAUUUUGUUGUUCCAAGUGUCCUUUGGUAUUCCUCUAAAGAAGAAAAGCAGGAAAUUAUUGAUAGCUACAAGGCAAAACUAAGGUCUAUAGACUGCAAGUAUUUUGACUUUGGGAAUGGGAACUGCCCCUUUGGGACAAGUUGUUUUUACAAGCAUACUGUCAAGCCAGGCUCAUACACGUGGAAAUAUCACAGACCUCCUCCACGGAGACCACGUCCUCGCAGAACCAGUUUUGUGGAUAAUAUGACAUUGUUUGAUGUUUUUGAACACUUAUUUGAAGAAGAUGAACUGGACAUCUUUGAUGCUGAGGAUUAUUUUGAUGAAGAUGAUAUGGCUUUUUUAUUAAUGCAGAUGGAUAUUGGAUCAGGCGACACCUCCAGUGAUGAUGAAAACUAUCUCUUUUAAGCUAUUAGCUUUAGCCAUAUUGCAAACUUUUCAUUCUUCUGCUGGAAUUUUGAAGUUGGUGGCUUUGGACGUCUUAGUAUUUUAAGCAUUUUGGAAUAUAUGAAGCUUGUAGUUUGUCUCUUAUAAGCCCAUGUUCUGUGUUAUGUUUAGACAAUGAGUAUUCAAAGUAAAUCUAUGGUGCCUGCCAGGACAUUGGUUCCAUCUAUUUAUAUGUUUGUAGCAUUAUGGUGUGGAAGAUAAACAGCCUGGAAAUGUGUUUGUUGGUUGAUGUAUUGUCAUUAGCUCAACUGAAGGCUUAGAGCACAUGCUUAUACUUUAGCUAUAUAAUAUAUAAUGAAAAGGUUGAAAUUCUUAGAGUUUUGAUCACUCCGAAUUUAUUAAUUUUUUGUUUCUCAGAAAAUUUCAUGCUGCCUUAAAGUUUAUAUUAAUGCCUUUUUUAGGCUGAUUUGUGCUGUAGAAACUUUCACAAUGAGCAGUAAUUCUUAAAUACUUGGAAGCCAUUGUUGAAGAAGAAAUGCAUUUUGUGUUGGAUUUCCUACUAGUCUUCUUUUUUAGCCUACUAAAUCUUUUCUUUCAGGGAGGAUGGAAGUUUUUUAUGCUAAAUGAUAAUAGUUGUCAUAUUGAGAAGUUGCUCUAUUUUCUUUCUUUCUUUUUUAAUUUUUUGGUACCUUGGAGGAAUGGCAAAGUGAAAUUUGCUUUCUACUGUACAAGGAAAUAAUAAUGUGGUUUUGUGCCUAAAGAAAAAAAUUGUAGCAACUAUUAUGUCAUCACAUGGAUGGGCCAUUAUGGAUAAAACAUUUUGUUGGAAGCUAUAUUAAUACUUAUGGUUUGUGACUUAUUUAACAACAAAUGAUGUUAUGCAGUAGCACAUUAUUCUCAUAAUUCCCAUUUGAAUAAAUAAAAUUAUUCCUUAUGUGCUGGUUUGCUUGGAAUUGCCAGUCAGUGGGGCCUUGAAAGGUAUAUAUUUAAGGUAUUCGAACUUUGCAGCAUGCAUAUGAAGAUGGCCGUGUGGAGGAAGUUGCAUCGCGUCAUCUUGGGGCUGAAGAUGGAAAUACUGUGAUCGCCAAAAAUAUCAGGUUUGAUGGAAGACUUUCUUACCCUUAUGCUUCAUAACCAAAUGAUUGCAGUCUCAUUUUCAAUUGCUCUCUUAUUGUUGUAUUUUUAUUUGAUAAAUAUAUUGUACUUUCAGGCUUUCAGAUUUCCUUGGUAGCUUGCAAAUAAGUUGAAUCACGCUGCUUAAUAAUUCCUGUGUAAGUGUAAGUGUGAAUUAAUAACUUCCUUUUUUCUGAUCACUGAUUUUAAGUGUGUGCAUGUGCGGACAAUUGCACGUGUGCAGUUGCAUGCAUAGGAACACUUUUACAUGCAUGCAUGAUCAACCAAAAGUAUUCUAGUUACUUUAACCCUGCUAUCUUGAAAUAUGCAGGUUAUCAGAUAAUGCAAACAUAUUUAUAUUUUCAACUUGUGAAAGGUCUUCAAUUUCCUGUGUCAAGCUCUUGUUUUUUGUGAGGUAAAAGGCCAUUGUUUUAUAAGUAUGGUAUUCCAUUCUGACAGUUCAUUUUUCUGAGGACCAUUAUCUUGCAGGGAUUUUUCUGUGGCCUCAAUAUACCUGCAAUGUUUCCAUUUCCUCUUUACAUCCUUCCGUUUGGAGAUUAGAAUUUUCAAGAAUUCAAUUUAAUCGAUUUCUUUUUUAUCAAUUCUUAUGUUUGGA